GACAAACGCUGGCGGCGUGCCUAACACAUGCAAGUCGAGCGCGAAAGGGACCUUCGGGUCCCCUGAGAGCGGCGAACGGGUGAGUAACACGUGGGCAACCUGCCUCAAGGACUGGGAUAACUCCGGGAAACCGGGGCUAAUACCGGGCGAUGUCGUCUGGCGCAAGCCGGCCGACCAAAUGGUAGCUUCGGCCUCCGCCUUGAGAUGGGCCCGCGUCCUAUCAGCUUGUUGGUGAGGUAAUGGCUAACCAAGGCUACGACGGGUAGCUGGUCGCGGGGGAGGAGCAGCAACACUGGGACUGAGAUACGGCCCAGACUCCUACGGGAGGCAGCAGGGGGGAAUUUUGCGCAAUGGGCGAAAGCCUGACGCAGCAACGCCGCGUGAGCGAAGAAGGCCUUCGGGUUGUAAAGCUCUGUCAGGGGGAAAGAAGGCACCUGGGUUAAUAGCCCAAGGGCUGACGGUACCCCCAAAGGAAGCCACGGCUAACUACGUGCCAGCCGCCGCCGUAACAC
rnacentral:rRNA from 1 species